AUGAACGCUGGCGGCGUGCCUAGUACAUGCAAGUCGAGCGAACAGAUAAGGAGCUUGCUCCUUUGACGUUAGCGGCGGACGGGUGAGUAACACGUGGAUAACCUACCUAUAAGACUGGGAUAACUUCGGGAAACCGGAGCUAAUACCGGAUAAUAUAUUGAACCGCAUGGUUCAAUAGUGAAAGGCGGCUUUGCUGUCACUUAUAGAUGGAUCCGCGCCGUAUUAGCUAGUUGGUAAGGUAACGGCUUACCAAGGCAACGAUACGUAGCCGACCUGAGAGGGUGAUCGGCCACACUGGAACUGAGACACGGUCCAGACUCCUACGGGAGGCAGCAGUAGGGAAUCUUCCGCAAUGGGCGAAAGCCUGACGGAGCAACGCCGCGUGAGUGAUGAAGGUCUUCGGAUCGUAAAACUCUGUUAUCAGGGAAGAACAAAUGUGUAAGUAACUGUGCACAUCUUGACGGUACCUGAUCAGAAAGCCACGGCUAACUACGUG
rnacentral:rRNA from 1 species